UACGGGGGGAGCAAGCGUUGUUCGGAUUUACUGGGCGUAAAGGGCGCGUAGGCGGCGUGACUAGUCACUUGUGAAAUCUCCGGGCUUAACUCGGAACGGUCAAGUGAUACUGUCGUGCUAGAGUACAGAAGGGGUAACUGGAAUUCUCGGUGUAGCGGUGAAAUGCGUAGAUAUCGAGAGGAACACCUGCGGCGAAGGCGGGUUGCUGGGCUGAUACUGACGCUGAUGCGCGAAAGCCAGGGGAGCGAACGGG
rnacentral:rRNA from 1 species